AACGAACGCUGGCGGCAGGCUUAACACAUGCAAGUCGAACGCCCCGCCAGGGUAGUGGCAGACGGGUGAGUAACGCGGGGGAAACUACCCAUCUCUGCGGAAUAGCUCUGGGAAACUGGAAUUAAUACCUCAUACGCCCUACGGGGGGAAGAUCUAGCGGGGAUGGAUGAGCCGGCGUUGGAUUAGCUAGUUGGCGGGGUAAAGGUCUACGAAGGCGACGAUCCAUAGCUGGUCUGAGAGGAUCAUCAGCCACAUUGGGACUGAGACACGGCCCAAACUCCUACGGGAGUCAGCAGUGGGGAAUAUUGGACAAUGGGCGCAAGCCUGAUCCAGCCAUGCCGCGUGAGUGAUGAAGGCCUUAGGGUUGUAAAGCUCUUUCACCGAUGAAGAUAAUGACGGUAGUCGGAGAAGAAGCCCCGGCUAACUUCGUGCCAGCAGCCGCGGUAA
rnacentral:rRNA from 1 species